CUGACCCACACCUGGAGCAGCUCUUGAAGAGCCGCCAUCCAUGGAAAAGCCCAUGCAGGAGCAGCCCAUGAAGGAUAGCACCCCGCAGGAAGGAGCCCAGGCUGGAGCAGGGGAGAGAGUGACGGUGAAGGAGCAGAUGAAACAAAGGGUAGAAGCAGCUGCCACUAGGACCCCUGUGGGGUUUGUUGCUGCGCGAAGGUGACACACCGGGUAAAAUGAGAAGAGCUGCAGCUGAUGUGCUGCAAUUACAGAUAGGAGAAAAGCUGUUUCCAGCGAGACGGAGAAGGAAUUAAUUAUACCUCUGCCUCAUCCCGUGAGACCGGAAGACACUGAGUAACUUAACUGUAAACUGCAAUUCUCAGAAGACAUAGUAAGAGUCUCAGGUUCCUUCUCUGCCUGCCCCCCAAAGCCUUAGGGAUGAGAAAUCUUAGGCUUUAUGUUUCUCCCUAUGAAAUACUGUCGCAUUAAGGGGCGUAGCUGACUGUUACGGGUCUGGUCGGAUUCAGGGUACUGAACUAUUACGGUCAUGGGUUUACCAAUAAUGUAGCACGCCCUCGCUCUAGUCACGUUCAAUGAGAACUGUCACGGCUAGGAACAAUGCAAUGAAGGGCAAUUUAUUACGGCAACAAGGACACAGGUUCUUUGGAUUGGCAGAGAUAAAUUCACUGUCGGCAAAAGCAAACGAGCACGCAUGAAAUACACAAGUACUCAUCGUGGCUGUUAACACGUUAAAAGGCACAAAGACUCUAGAGAUUUCUAAGUUUCCAAGGAGACACCUGGUAUAACCAAGUGUUCAAAUUUUACCCCACAGCGUCCCAAUGGGGGGAGGGGGAUAAGAGGCUCAGCCUGUUGACUGAUCCCAGAAGUCAGAAGUCAGUUUUGUGAUGGUAUCUUGCCUAACAUCCCCUUUCUCUUAAGCCAGUUUACAUUAUUUUAUGUCUUUUAGGUGGAGCUUGGGUGACUCUAGUCAGGCAUAUCUUAGCUUUGACUGGUGAAAAGUUUUCUUGCUUUCAUUUAAAGGUGUAGACUCCGAGAAGUUCAGAGUGCAUGCUCAGCGAGGGGUGGUCGCACCUUGGAGGUGGGGAGCUUUUGGGAUGGAGGUGUGUUUUGGUAUUCUAAAGAUACUAGAAUGAGCAAAAGUUCCCUAGAGUACAGCAUUUUGUCAGGUCGUUGGCUCCGGGUAGCAAAGAUGCAGCUUACUGCUCUUGGUGUGCACAAGAGCAGUCGGGUCCUCAUCUGGUCACAGAGCCUAUCCGCGGUGUCUCCACUCCACUCUGCACUCCGUCCUGUUCCUUAGAGUCAGCACACCAAGUUCCCCUUGUGCGGUAGCAUCUAAGGUUGGAGGCCUAGGGAACACUUAGGUAGCGCAGCUGCCCUCCACUCUUCCAGCUUCUUCAAUGCUGUAUGUUUUCUUUAAAAGGUGAAUAUUAGUUUAAUUUGCCUAGUUACUUCAGGCAAUUACUCCACAACUACCAAAAGCAAUAGUGAGGAGCCCACUUCCAG